rnacentral:lncRNA from 1 species
CCGCCUUCCCGAGCCCGGAUGCUCGGCCCGCUUUGAGGAAAGUCGAUCCUCGCGUCGAUCCCGUCGUUUUGAUCCGCUCGGCUCGCUAAUCUGGUGAGUUUAGCUCACUAAAUCUUGAUUAGACGGUUAAUUAUGCCCUAAGUGUGCUUAGUUUAAGUUAAGCAAGUUUAGGUGGAUAUUUUAGUUUAUUUAAUUGUGAUUUGGAUUAAAAGGUUUGUUUAAUUUAAAGUGUGUUUAAUUAAAGGUUAAGAGAGUUUAUUUAAUAAUAAACCUUGAUGGGACAUAAUAGGGUUUUAUUUUUGAAUUAUUUAAUUGAAAUUAUUAAAAUAUUAUUAUUUAAAAAAAAAGGAAAAAUUAUUUUUGAUCCCGAUUGCUCAGAAUUUCGUGCCGAUCGCUGCUAUGCGUUCAGAUUUUGAAAUUGAUGGUUAGAUAUUAUAAAUUGGGUGUGGAUGACGAAAAUAUGGAUAUUAUUAUUUAAUUAAUUUUCGAAAUAAAUUUAAUUAUUUAUUAAAAUUCGAAAAUUUCGUCGGGACCCUAAACUCUCAGAAUUUCGUGCCGAUCGCUGCUGUGUAUUUAGAAUUUGAAUUUGAUGAUUGAUUGUGGCAAAUUGAGUGUGAUUGCGAUAGAUAGGGAUUCUUUAUAAAAUCCAAGUGUCGAAAUUGAUGGGAGGUUGGCCGUGAUGAACCACCUAUUAGAGGUCGUGCCCAGUGAGGCCGUGAUGAACCACCUAUGAGAUGUCGUGCCUAGUGAGGCCGUGAUGAACCACCUAUUAGAGGUCGUGCCCAGUGAGGCCGUGAUGAACCACCUAUGAGAGGUCGUGCCUAAUAGGGCCGUGAUGGACCACCUAUUAGAGGUCGUGCCCAGUGAGGCCUUGAUUAACCACCUAUUAGAGAUCGUGCUCAGUGAGGCCGUGAUGUACCACCUAGGAGAGGUCGUGCCCAGUGAGGCCGUGAUGGGGGCACCUAAUUAAAGGUCGUGCCGAGGGGGGCCGUGAUUGCCACUGGUUGUUAAACCUUCCUAUAGGGCCGUAAUUGAGAGCGAUGAUUGAUUUGCUAGAAUGACAUGUAAUCGGCCAAGUCGAUUGAUCGCUGAGACGAUCCAAGUGGUUGAAUUAUUCUGAUGAUGUGAUUGUGCCAUGGUUGUUUGGCUAUCAUAAUUGCACGUAGUUGAAUUAUAUAAAUUGUGUUAACCUGCAGAUGAAGGCUAAUGCGAGGUAAGUCUUCUGUGUGAUGUGGCUAGGCCACCCAGGGCGUAUUUUCUUUCUAAUAGGGGUUUAGGGGGUUUAACUUGCUGAAACAUCGUCUCAUCCCAGUUGUGGGAUUAAAAUUUCAGGUCCCUGGUGAACGGAGCGACCAGAUAGCUUUGGUUUGCCUUGAGGAGUUGCAGAGGUGAAGUCAUAAGAUUGGAGAAUGUGUCCGACUUGUAGGUCGUAGGACAAUUCCUUUUUAAGAGCCGGUCCUUUGUAGACUUUUAGCCGUAGACUUCUGUUUGUAAUUCUAUUGAAUUAUGAAAGUGUUAUGUUAUGG